GCCGCUUUCGUCUAGUGGCCCAGGACACAGCGUUCUCAACGCUGUAACACCGGUUCGACUCCGGUAAGCGGCA
rnacentral:tRNA from 1 species